GACCCAGAAGUAUGCUAUGGGUUAGUGCGCUGCUUUGCUUAGUGUUAGAGGAGGGCUUCUUUCCCAAAUGGCUUUUACUUUGAAUUAUAUCUUUGAAUCUGCCUCUUUUAUUCAAGUGGGUUUAGGUAUGUUUCCCUCCUGAAAAACGCUGCCUGUUCUAAACUUGUUUGUAUGGAUAGACAAAUUUAUCUUUAAUCUUGAGAGUUUAUUCCAAUAAAAUUCCUGUCGUGAACCUGAGAACCUGCCUAAUGCCGUUAAUGGAGAAACUUG
rnacentral:misc_RNA from 1 species